AUUGAACGCUGGCGGCAUGCUUUACACAUGCAAGUCGAACGGUAACAGGUUAAGCUGACGAGUGGCGAUCGGGUGAGUAAUGCAUCGGAACGUGCCCGGUCGUGGGGGAUAACGCAGCGAAAGCUGCGCUAAUACCGCAUACGAUCUGAGGAUGAAAGCGGGGGACCGUAAGGCCUCGCGCGAUCGGAGCGGCCGAUGUCAGAUUAGGUAGUUGGUGGGGUAGAGGCUCACCAAGCCAACGAUCUGUAGCUGGUCUGAGAGGACGACCAGCCACACUGGGACUGGGACACGGCCCAGACUACUACGGGAGGCAGCAGUGGGGAAUUUUGGACAAGGGGCGAAAGCCUGAUCCAGCAAUGCCGCGUGCAGGAAGAAGGCCUUCGGGUUGUAAACUGCUUUUGUACGGAGCGAAAAGGUCUCCUCUAAUACAGGGGGCUCAUGACGGUACCGUAAGAAUAAGCACCGGCUAACUACGUGCCAGCCGCCGCCGUAA
rnacentral:rRNA from 1 species